GGAGGUGUGGCUGAGUGGCUUAAAGCGUAGGUUUGCUAAAUCUUUCUACAGUUCAAUGUAGCGUAGGUUCGAAUCCUUCCGCCUCCU
rnacentral:tRNA from 1 species